rnacentral:rRNA from 1 species
GAUGAACGCUGGCGGCGUGCUUAAUACAUGCAAGUCGAGCGAAGCACUUUAACGGAAUUCUCCGGAAGGAAGGUAAAGUGACUGAGCGGCGGACGGGUGAGUAACGCGUGGGUAACCUGCCUUAUACAGGGGGAUAACAGUUAGAAAUGGCUGCUAAUACCGCAUAAGCGCACAGGGCUGCAUGGCCCGGUGUGAAAAACUCCGGUGGUAUAAGAUGGACCCGCGUUGGAUUAGCUAGUUGGUGAGGUAACGGCUCACCAAGGCGACGAUCAGUAGCCGGUCUGAGAGGAUGAACGGCCACAUUGGGACUGAGAUACGGCCCAG